rnacentral:rRNA from 1 species
GACGAACGCUGGCGGCGUGCUUAACACAUGCAAGUCGAACGGAAAGGCCCUGCUUUUGUGGGGUGCUCGAGUGGCGAACGGGUGAGUAACACGUGAGUAUCCUGCCCUUGACUUUGGGAUAACUUCAGGAAACUGGGGCUAAUACCGGAUAGGAGCUCCUGCUGCAUGGUGGGGGUUGGAAAGUUUCGGCGGUUGGGGAUGGACUCGCGACUUAUCAGCUUGUUGGUGGGGUAGUGGCUUACCAAGGCUUUGACGGGUAGCCGGCCUGAGAGGGUGACCGGCCACAUUGGGACUGAGAUACGGCCCAGACUCCUACGGGAGGCAGCAGUGGGGAAUAUUGCACAAUGGGCGGAAGACUGAUGCAGCAACGCCGCGUGCGGGAUGACGGCCUUCGGGUUGUAAACCGCUUUCGCCUGUGACGAAGCGUGAGUGACGGUAAUGGGUAAAGAAGCACCGGCUAACUACGUG